rnacentral:tRNA from 1 species
GCUUUGGUGGCCAAGUGGUAAGGCGUCGCACUUGGUUAGUAGUCCCUGAUCCACCAUCACUCCACGAAGCCUUAUUCUAACAUCCUAAAAGUAAUGCGAAGACCGUGGGUUCGAAUCCCAUCCGAAGCA